ensembl:lncRNA
GGGGGGGUGUACUAGUACAGUAAUAUAUACCAGUAUAGUCAGACAGACUAGUGUCCUGUCCAGGGGGUGUACUAGUACAGUAAUAUAUACCAGUAUAGUCAGACAGACUAGUGUCCUGUCCAGGGGGUGUACUAGUACAGUAAUAUAUACCAGUAUAGUCAGACAGACUAGUGUCCUGUCCAGGGGGUGUACUAGUACAGUAAUAUAUACCAGUAUAGUCAGACAGACUAGUGUCCUGUCCAGGGGGUGUACUAGUACAUUAAGUUGCCUCACUCUUCAGAAACAGGACACAGGCUCCUGCCCCUUGGUUCGCUCUGGCUUGGACAAGGCUUCCUUAUUUUGUCAGUAUGCUCACCGAGUAAGAUACUGCUCUAGAGAGAUACUACUCCUAUAAUCACUCUAUGGUGUGUGCUCCAAAUGGCACCCUAUUCUCUACAUAUUACACUACUUUUAACCACAGCCCUAUGGGCUCUGGUCAAUAGUAGUGCACUAUAUAGGGAAUAGGGUGCCUUACCUUUUGGGUCGCCUGCCUACAUCAGUGAUGAAUUAAUACAACCUUAGUUCUCCAGAGGGAUGAACAGUUCAUAGUUAACUAUGUGCUGAACGUAAUGAGUUGGCAGAUUACCUCAUCGUAUUAACAAGAGACCGGAAACAGAGUUGGAAACCAAUCAGGAACAUGCAUCAACACCUUUCUCCUCCAUUGCCAGCAGUAGGAUUAUGAAGAAACAAACAAAUGAAAAGAAAAUAAACAACAUAAUUCUCUACUUUUAAAUGAAAGGGAAUAUUCUAGGCUAGGGAAUAUUCUAGGCUAGGCUAGGGAAUAUUCUAGGCUAGGGAACAUUCUAGGCUAGGGAACAUUCUAGGCUAGGCUAGGGAAUAUUCUAGGCUAGGCUAGGGAACAUUCUAGGCUAGGCUAGGGAAUAUUCUAGGCUAGGCUAGGGAAUAUUCUAGGCUAGGCUAGGGAAUAUUCUAGGCUAGGCUAGGGAAUAUUUUAGGCUAGGCUAGGGAAUAUUCUAGGCUAGGCUAGGGAAUAUUCUAGGCUAGGCUAGGGAAUAUUCUAGGCUAGGGAAUAUUCUAGGCUAGGGAAUAUUCUAGGCUAGGGAAUAUUCUAGGCUAGGGAAUAUUCUAGGCUAGGGAAUAUUCUAGGCUAGGCUAGGGAAUAUUCUAGGCUAGGGAAUAUUCUAGGCUAGGGAAUAUUCUAGGCUAGGCUAGGGAAUAUUCUAGGCUAGGGAAUAUUCUAGGCUAGGCUAGGGAAUAUUCUAGGCUAGGCUAGGGAAUAUUCUAGGCUAGGCUAGGGAAUAUUCUAGGCUAGGGAAUAUUCUAGGCUAGGCUAGGGAAUAUUCUAGGCUAGGGAAUAUUCUAGGCUAGGGAAUAUUCUAGGCUAGGGAACAUUCUAGGCUAGGCUAGGGAAUAUUCUAGGCUAGGGAAUAUUCUAGGCUAGGGAACAUUCUAGGCUAGGGAACAUACUAGGCUAGGGAACAUUCUAGGCUAGGGAACAUAAUAGGCUAGGGAACAUUCUAGACUAGGGAACAUUCUAGACUAGGGAACAUUCUAGACUAGGGAACAUUCUAGACUAGGGAACCUUCUUUCAGUUAGUUUAAGUUAUGUUCAUAUUCCAGAUGCACAACCAUCCCAUAGGUCAUGUGGAAUUAUACCGAUUGUAAAUGAUACCUACUGUAAAUGGUAAAUUGUACAUACUGUACUUUUUUAAAUUUUACCUUUAUUUUACCUUUAAUUAACUAGGCAAGUCAGUUAAGAACAAAUUCUUAUUUUCAAUGAGGGCCUAGGAACAGUGGGUUAACUGCCUGUUCAGGGGCAGAACGACAGAUUGUACUUUGUCAGCUCGGGGGUUUGAACUUGCAACCUUCCGGUUACUAGUCCAACGCUCUAACCACUAGGCUACCCUGCCGCCCCAUGAAAUGAUACCUACUGUAAAUGAUACAUACUGUAAAUGAUACCUACUGUACAUGAUACAUACUAUAAAUGAUACCUACUGUAAAUGGUACAUACUGUAAAUGGUACAUACUGUAAAUGGUACAUACUGUAAAUGGUACAUACUGUAAAUGAUACAUACGGCAGGCUUACACCAUGACUUCUCUGUUAAAGACAGUUAAUUGCUCUGAUUUGCCUCCAACACCUCUGCCCCUCAUCUCCUUGUCUCUUUCUAAAGGCCUGGGUUAGAAGGUUUCCCCUGCAGGUCAACUGUUGGUUGGUGAGCGAGGUAGUAGAGAUGUUACAGGGAAACAGAAACGUUGGGAGAAUAUUCAUCAGGUAGCUAAGCGCUGUCACAUGAAGUUUUAGCUGCUGUAUGGGCACCAGCCAUACUCUGGUGAAACCCAGAGAGAUGUGUUCCAGAGGGUCAUUGGGGAUCUAACAACAUAUUAGUUUGACAGGAGGGAAGGGGAUUGAUAUAGAUUUCUGUAAUGAAAAACUUUUGAGGAAUCUACAGUGGAGCUCAAUACCACACUAUUAGAUCCACUCAACUCCCAGCAGGGAGGAGAACAGAUGGAGAGAGUUGAUGUUUCUGUACUCUAUUAUCUGGAGACAAUCUCUUUAUGAUAUGACCUUUAGGCUUAUAGGGGAGGACAGGGGUGAGAGGGUCAAGCCUGAGAGACUGGUGCGCUACUCUACAUAAUACUGUAUACAUUGCCUUACUUGCUGUGUGGGGUCAUUUGGUGCAAAAGCAAUGUGAAGAGGGGAAUAGGACUAAACAGGAAAUUCAAUAUCCCUGCUGCUGGGAGGAGUUAGAAUGUGUUCCAUCUGAUACUACUGGGAGGAGUCAGAAUGUGUUCCAUCUGAUACUACUGGGAGGAGUCAGAAUGUGUUCCAUCUGAUACUACUGGG